rnacentral:rRNA from 1 species
UACGUAGGGUGCGAGCGUUAAUCGGAAUUACUGGGCCUAAAGCGUGCGUAGGCGGCUUUGUAAGUAAGAGGUGAAAGCCUGGUGCUCAACACCAGAACUGCCUUUUAGACUGCAUCGCUUGAACACGGGAGAGGUGAGUGGAAUUCCGAGUGUAGAGGUGAAAUUCGUAGAUAUUCGGAAGAACACCAGUGGCGAAGGCGGCUCACUGGACCGUUGUUGACGCUGAGGUGCGAAAGCGUGGGGAGCAAACAGG